rnacentral:misc_RNA from 1 species
GAUAAUUAUUAAUAAUUUUUAGGCAUAAUUUAGGUGAGAUAGGGUCGAAGAUAGCUCACCAGCGCCGGGAUCGCAUUUUCUGCCAGAUUCGACUGUUCGGCGGCCUGUCUCGGAACGUGGCCGAUAUUAUAAUCAAUCUUAACAUUUUCAGACGUUCUUGACGCGUUCCAAGUGUUAGAUUUAGCAUAAAUAAAUCCAAACUCUAAGUUGCUCAAUUUUUACCUCAUACUGGGUUUAGAAUAAAAUUCAUAAAAUAAUUAUGGGUAGUUAGAAAAUUGUAAUUACUUUUGAAAUAGCCUUACAAUAUUGUUAAGGACCGCUGGGCAAGUUUAUAAUAUUUUCAAAGUUAGUUUG